GGGCUUUUGUCACGUGGUACUGGUUCCCCUCUCCCGCGCCUCUGAGGUGGCUUAGAAUAACCAAGUGAUUUCUCCGCGGUUCUCCUUAAAAGUCAUCACGGCAAACCCUGAACGAGGAUAUAUGAGGAAUACGAUGCCUUUUCCAACAAAAAGCGGGGACGGGCCGAGGACGCGGGAGUCCCUUGCCUGAGGAGGACGCACAGAAAUGGAAACCACACUCACCUGGAGGAAGACCAUCCCACAGAGAGGAUUCUUCAGAAGGAAGGAGCCCAGAGAUGAGAGGCUGAAAGGUAACAGAAAAGCUACCAGGUCAUGGACACAGACAGAGGCGAUGCUGCAAAAGGAGUCUUCUUGGAGACAGGCUAAAGAGAAAGAUGGAAAACUGGGUCACGUGGCUCUCAAGUGGACAAGAGUUCCUGAAUAGUUCUUAAUGGUUGCAUCAGAAUUUUUGAUACAGAACAUUUAUUUGACAGCAGCAACAGAAACCUCUUUGGGAACAUCUUCCACGACCAUGAACUUGGAAAGAAAGAAAAUCAAAAGGAAUUUACAGCAAUUAUUAAUCUUCAAAGUUCAAAACUGGUCACUU